UCAGGGAUGAUGGGAGUUGUAGUCCCAAAACAUCUAGAGCAGUGUUCCCCAAUCCUGGGCCUCCAGCUGUUUUUGGACUACAAUUCCCAUCAUCCUUGAC